rnacentral:rRNA from 1 species
GCGUGUGUGAAGAAGGCCUUCGGGUUGUAAAGCACUUUCAGUCAGGAGGAAAGGUUAACGGUUAAUACCCGUUAGCUGUGACGUUACUGACAGAAGAAGCACCGGCUAACUCCGUGCCAGCAGCCGCGGUAAUACGGAGGGUGCGAGCGUUAAUCGGAAUUACUGGGCGUAAAGCGUACGCAGGCGGUUUGUUAAGCGAGAUGUGAAAGCCCCGGGCUCAACCUGGGAACUGCAUUUCGAACUGGCAAACUAGAGUGUGAUAGAGGGUGGUAGAAUUUCAGGUGUAGCGGUGAAAUGCGUAGAGAUCUGAAGGAAUACCGAUGGCGAAGGCAGCCACCUGGGUCAACACUGACGCUCAUGUACGAAAGCGUGGGGAGCAAACGGGAUUAGAUACCCCGGUAGUCCACGCCGUAAACGAUGUCUACUAGAAGCUCGGAGCCUCGGUUCUGUUUUUCAAAGCUAACGCAUUAAGUAGACCGCCUGGGGAGUACGGCCGCAAGGUUAAAACUCAAAUGAAUUGACGGGGGCCCGCACAAGCGGUGGAGCAUGUGGUUUAAUUCGAUGCAACGCGAAGAACCUUACCUACACUUGACAUACAGAGAACUUACCAGAGAUGGUUUGGUGCCUUCGGGAACUCUGAUACAGGUGCUGCAUGGCUGUCGUCAGCUCGUGUUGUGAGAUGUUGGGUUAAGUCCCGCAACGAGCGCAACCCCUAUCCUUAGUUGCUAGCAGGUAAUGCUGAGAACUCUAAGGAGACUGCCGGUGAUAAACCGGAGGAAGGUGGGGACGACGUCAAGUCAUCAUGGCCCUUACGUGUAGGGCUACACACGUGCUACAAUGGCGCAUACAGAGUGCUGCGAACUCGCGAGAGUAAGCGAAUCACUUAAAGUGCGUCGUAGUCCGGAUUGGAGUCUGCAACUCGACUCCAUGAAGUCGGAAUCGCUAGUAAUCGCGUAUCAGAAUGACGCGGUGAAUACGUUCCCGGGCCUUGUACACACCGCCCGUCACACCAUGGGAGUGGGUUGCUCCAGAAGUAGAUAGUCUAACCCUCGGGAGGACGUUUACCACGGAGUGAUUCAUGACUGGGGUGAAGUCGUAACAAGGUAGCCCUAGGGGAACCUGCGGCUGGAUCACCUCC